rnacentral:lncRNA from 1 species
AAAGAAAAAAGUACAAAACAAUUUUCCUGAAAUUUAGGUUAUUAUAAAAAUAAGAAGAUGUGGUUUGAUUGUCAAUAACACAAUUCUCAACUAGAGACCAAAUGACAAAGAAGUUAAGAACUAUAGGUCACCGUACGGCCUUCAACAAAACUCAUAUGGCAUAGUUAGCUAUAAAAGGCCCAAAAAUGACAAAUGCAAAACAAUUCAAACGAGAAAACUGACAGCCUGAUUUUUUUUCAAAACAAGAAACGAAAAACAAAUACAUAUAUGAUAUACAGUAAAAACAACAACCACUGAAUUAUAGGCUCCUGACUUGUCUAGAUUCUGGUAUACAACAAAUGUCCCAUAUGAGAGGCAUAGGGGUGCAUUAAACUUCAGAUGGUAAAGUAGCUGGAUAAUUGAUUUCUAAUUAUAUACAGAUGCUUUUGAUCAGAAGUUACUGUGUGUCAUAUGUCCUUUGUCAUUAACCUCAUUUUCAUGGUUAAAGCUCAC